UACGAAGGGGGCUAGCGUUGCUCGGAAUCACUGGGCGUAAAGGGUGCGUAGGCGGGUCUUUAAGUCAGAGGUGAAAUCCUGGAGCUCAACUCCAGAACUGCCUUUGAUACUGAGGAUCUUGAGUAUGGGAGAGGUGAGUGGAACUGCGAGUGUAGAGGUGAAAUUCGUAGAUAUUCGGAAGAACACCAGUGGCGAAGGCGGCUCACUGGCCCGGUACUGACGCUGAGGUGCGAAAGCGUGGGGAGCAAACAGG
rnacentral:rRNA from 1 species